rnacentral:lncRNA from 1 species
CACAGUACUAGAGCACUAGAAGUUUUGCUUUGUACCUGCCAAGUGUUGAAGCACCACAUUGUGGGCAGGGUGACAGACUGCUCUGAGAGCAUGCCAGAUCGGGAAAGAAAGAGGCAGCUGCCUGGAUAUAACAAAUGAAGUGUGCCACAGAAAGAAGGUAGGAGACCUUGGAAGCUUUAUUGGUAUCACAGGACAUGGCAGUAGCAAGGACUUGCUAAGAAAUUUCUAGCUCAAAAACCAUAAAAGCUCAAGAUCCCAGAAGGUCAGCUCUGAAUCCAGA